CAAAUUAGAGCUUGAAAUAAGUAUUUCAUUUACAUUGAAAGGAUAUUAUAAUUAUAAUUAAUUUGA
rnacentral:tRNA from 1 species